AUAGUAUAUAGAUAGUGGUGCACAUGAGUUUUUAUCUUUAUAGGUUUAGUUAGUAUAUUUUAUGUGAUUAUUAUAAUUAUAAAUUUAUUAAAAAGUUAUUAGUUUAAAUUUUGAGGUACCACUGAUCGACUCAAAUCAAACAAAUUGAAUGGUUUGUUAAAAAUCUAAAUCUUGAAAGAUUAGGCAGCCAUUUCAAACUAGUUCAUAGUUCGGAUAUGUUCUAUACGUUUUACCAAAUUUAAAUUUAAUAUCAUAGAGAGAGAGAGAGACUCUAAGAUCUAGAAACAGAAGCUCUAAUCAGUAGCUUCUAACUAUGUUAUAGAAAGAAGGGUUAAUUGCAUACAGCUCUAUAUCAAUAUAUCGAAUAGCAAAUAUAUUUUUAUAAAGUUUAACUUUUUAUUUUUAUUCCUACAAAAGUUCUGUGAUAUUCGUAUUUGCCCCUCUGCUUUGUUACCCAAAAGUAUUUUAUCCAAUAAUAUAGGAGGGAUAAAAUGAUCAAUUUAACUCAUUCACUAAUCAGGUUUAAGUAUUUUACUCAUAGUUAAUUAUAUUUUUUUAAUGGAUCUUAACAGCAGUGAUAUAUUUAAAAACGGUAGGACUUUUGUAGGGACAAAUAAAAAACUGAACUUUGUAGGAAUAUACUUACUAUUCGAUAAAGG
rnacentral:lncRNA from 1 species